UGCAACCCCAGAGAAGAGCA
rnacentral:tRNA from 41 species